AUUGAACGCUGGCGGCAUGCCUUACACAUGCAAGUCGAACGGCAGCACGGGAGCAAUCCUGGUGGCGAGUGGCGAACGGGUGAGUAAUAUAUCGGAACGUGCCCAGUAGUGGGGGAUAACUGAUCGAAAGUGCAGCUAAUACCGCAUACGACCUGAGGGUGAAAGGGGGGGAUCGCAAGACCUCUCGCUAUUGGAGCGGCCGAUAUCAGAUUAGCUAGUUGGUGGGGUAAGGGCCUACCAAGGCAACGAUCUGUAGUUGGUCUGAGAGGACGAACAGCAACACUGGGACUGAGACACGGCCCAGACUCCUACGGGAGGCAGGAGUGGGGAAUUUUGGACAAUGGGCGCAAGCCUGAUCCAGCAAUGCAGCGUGCAGGAAGAAGGCCUUCGGGUUGUAAACUGCUUUUGUCAGGGAAGAAAUCCUCUAGGCUAAUACCCUUGGGGGGAUGACGGUACCUGAAGAAUAAGCACCGGCUAACUACGUGCCAGCAGCCGCCGUAAAAC
rnacentral:rRNA from 1 species